rnacentral:misc_RNA from 1 species
UAUGGAGAAUUGAUAAGCGCUGCUUAUCAAUAAAGUUUCCGUGUUUCGUUUUGUUCAGUUUUGAGAGAACUAUCUCUCAUAUAUAAAUGUAUGUUCUUUGAAAACUAGAUAACAGUGUAGCUCAUAUUUUUUAAUUUUUAGUUUGGUUAAGUUAGAA